CUCCUACGGGAGGCGGCAGUAGGGAAUCUUGCGCAAUGCGCGAAAGCGUGACGCAGCAACGCCGCGUGGGGGAAGAAGGGCUCUCGGGUUGUAAACCCCUUUCAGUUGGGACGAAGCUUCGCCGGUUAAUAGCCGGCUGGAGUGACGGUACCUUCACCAACGAAGCACCGGCUAACUACGUGCCAGCAGCCGCGGUAAUAC
rnacentral:rRNA from 1 species